UUUACCCUGCGAUGUUCGUUACGUGUACCUCUUAGUUUUGAGCCAACACUCUUACCUAGGGAGCCUGACUGAGCUCCGCCUUUUAAAAAACUGCCCCCUUGAGGGGACUUUUGCGACUGGCGGGAAGGCACCCACCUGCACUUGCAGGUUCAAAACAUGAGGCUGGACGGCAUUGUGGGGCAAAA
rfam:Phascolarctobacterium sp. CAG:207 genomic scaffold, scf18